UACGGAGGGUGCAAGCGUUAUCCGGAUUCACUGGGUUUAAAGGGAGCGCAGGCGGACUUGUAAGUCAGUGGUGAAAUACCUGAGCUUAACUCGGGAACUGCCAUUGAUACUAUCAGUCUUGAAUAUUGUUGAGGUUUGCGGAAUGGGUCAUGUAGCGGUGAAAUGCAUAGAUAUGACCCGGAACACCUAUUGCGAAGGCAGCAGGCUAAACAAAGAUUGACGCUGAGGCUCGAAAGCGUGGGGAUCAAACAGG
rnacentral:rRNA from 1 species